rnacentral:rRNA from 1 species
UACGAAGGGUGCAAGCGUUACUCGGAAUUACUGGGCGUAAAGGGCGCGUAGGCGGCCUUCUAAGUCAGACGUGAAAUCCCCCGGCUUAACCUGGGAACUGCGUCUGAUACUGGGAGGCUUGAGUAUGGGAGAGGGAUGUAGAAUUCCAGGUGUAGCGGUGAAAUGCGUAGAUAUCUGGAGGAAUACCGGUGGCGAAGGCGGCAUCCUGGACCAGAACUGACGCUGAGGCGCGAAAGCUAGGGGAGCAAACGGG